CUACGGGGCUGCAGUGAGGAAUUUUGCGCAAUGGGGGAAACCCUGACGCAGCAACGCCGCGUGAGUGAAGAAGGCUUUCGGGUCGUAAAGCUCUGUCAGAUAGGAAAAAAGUUCAUAUGUAAAUAGCUUAUGAAUCUGAUGGUACUAUCAGAGGAAGCACCGGCUAACUCCGUGCCAGCUGCCGCGGUAAUACGGAGGGUGCAAGCGUUGUUCGGAAUUACUGGGCGUAAAGGGCGUGUAGGCGGUAUGGUAAGUCAGAUGUGAAAGCCCUGGGCUUAACUCAGGAAGUGCAUUUGAUACUGCCAUCCUUACGUAUGGGAGAGGAGAGUAGAAUUCCCAGUGUAGAGGUGAAAUUCGUAGAUAUUGGGAGGAAUACCCGUGGCGAAGGCGACUCUCUGGACCAAUACUGACGCUGAGACGCGAAAGCGUGGGGAGCAAACAGGAUUAGAUACCCCCGUAGUC
rnacentral:rRNA from 1 species